AAUCAACGCUGGCGGCGUGCCUAAUACAUGCAAGUCGAACGAGGAAGUAUCUUCGGAUAUUGUACUAGUGGCGUACGGGUGAGUAACGCGUGGGAUAAUCUUCCUCUAAGUGGGGAAUAACCAGUCGAAAGGAUUGGCUAAAUACCGCAUAAGACCACAAGCUCUUUGGAAGCAAGGGGUUAAAGGCGAAAGCCGCUUGGAGAUGAGUCUGCGCCUGAUUAGCUAGUUGGUGAGGUAACGGCUCACCAAGGCGACGAUCAGUAGCUGGUCUGA
rnacentral:rRNA from 1 species